rnacentral:rRNA from 1 species
GCAGUCGCCGCGGGAAUACGAAGGGUGCAAGCGUUACUCGGAAUUACUGGGCGUAAAGCGUGCGUAGGUGGUGGUUUAAGUCCGUUGUGAAAGCCCUGGGCUCAACCUGGGAAUUGCAGUGGAUACUGGGUCACUAGAGUGUGGUAGAGGAUAGUGGAAUUUCCGGUGUAGCAGUGAAAUGCGUAGAGAUCGGAAGGAACAUCUGUGGCGAAGGCGACUAUCUGGGCCAACACUGACACUGAGGCACGAAAGCGUGGGGAGCAAACAGGAUUAGAUACCCGCGUAGUCCCUGUCUCUUAUAA